UACGGGGGGAGCAAGCGUUGUUCGGAUUUACUGGGCGUAAAGGGUGCGUAGGCGGGUCUUUAAGUCAGGGGUGAAAUCCUGGAGCUCAACUCCAGAACUGCCUUUGAUACUGAGGAUCUUGAGUUCGGGAGAGGUGAGUGGAACUGCGAGUGUAGAGGUGAAAUUCGUAGAUAUUCGCAAGAACACCAGUGGCGAAGGCGGCUCACUGGCCCGAUACUGACGCUGAGGCACGAAAGCGUGGGGAGCAAACAGG
rnacentral:rRNA from 1 species